AGUGGGCCAGGCGACCGCGGGCUGGCAGCGAUGCCAGCAUGAGGAAAGUCCGGGCUCCACAGGGCAGGAGGCAGGUUAACGGCCUGGCGGGGCAACCCGACGGAAAGCGCCGCAGAAAAGAAGACUCCCGCUGCCCGCCUUGGCGGGUGAGAGAAAAGCUGAAACGGUGGUGUAAGAGACCACCAGCGUCGUGGCGACACGGCGGCUUGGCAAGCCCCCUCCGGAGCAAGCGCAUGUAGGAGCGCGAUGGUGUGGCCCGCACUGCGCUCGGGUAGCGUGCUUGAGGCCUGCGGUAACGCAGGUCCUAGAUAAAUGGCCGCCCACGACAGAACCCGGCUUAUCGGCCCACUUC
rnacentral:RNase_P_RNA from 1 species